ACGAAAAUGGACCUUUGGGAAAACGAAAUUUUUGCCCAUUAAGCAGUCCAUUAAAUUAUCUGGGCCCAACGAGUAGUUGAACCCACGCGAAAUGCCUACUGCAUAUCCUAUUAGAUGCGGUGAGGUGGGACGAGAAGUAGGAGCAAACGCCGCCUCCGCCGAAUCUGACAAUGGGCGAUUCAGAUGUUGUUAGACGAAGACAAGUUGAAGAAUAGGACCAUGAGGAUAUUAUCUUGGCUGAUCCUACACUUCAUUUUAAAUACUGCCCAGCUGAUUGCUGCUGGCGGUUUCAUGGGUGGAUUUGAUUUUUGCCUUACUCAUCUGAGCGUCCUAUUUUUUGUUCAAUGAUAAACCCAUGACAUGCUUUAAAAUUCUAUGCACUAUUCAGUUCAUCAAAUUCAAGGUAUGUUUUUGUUUUCUCUUUUAACUUUUGGGUCUUCUAUAAAUUUCAUCAAAGUGUAUUCUUAUGAAUCUUCAGGAUUCAAUUUGGAUCUCACUUUGUUUGUCAUUUCGCUUUGCGUGUACUAAACACAGAAAUGGGCAGAUUGGAAACUGAUGAAUUAAGCAGUUUUUGGGCUGUGGAGCAUCAAAUUAAAGCAAAUCGGCCUAGUAAGAAUUCUAGACUCGAUUGGCUAUGCGUAGAGCCGACAAGUUCUGUGAUAUGGCCAGUCGGCUGAUCAUCCAAUUUGUCUUUCUUUUUGUAAUAUAAUUUUGAGAUUUUUGCUUAUUUUUUGUUAAUUUUUGCUUAUUUGUUAUUAUUUUCGACUUAAUUAGUUGUAGAGAGAUUAGAAUAAUUAUUUUUAUAUUUCUUUUGUUUAUUUUA